rnacentral:rRNA from 1 species
AUGAACGCUGGCGGCGUGCCUAAUACAUGCAAGUCGAGCGAACAGACGAGGAGCUUGCUCCUCUGACGUUAGCGGCGGACGGGUGAGUAACACGUGGAUAACCUACCUAUAAGACUGGGAUAACUUCGGGAAACCGGAGCUAAUACCGGAUAAUAUAUUGAACCGCAUGGUUCCAUAGUGAAAGACGGUUUUGCUGUCACUUAUAGAUGGAUCCGUGCCGCAUUAGCUAGUUGGUAAGGUAACGGCUUACCAAGGCGACGAUGCGUAGCCGACCUGAGAGGGUGAUCGGCCACACUGGAACUGAGACACGGUCCAGACUCCUACGGGAGGCAGCAGUAGGGAAUCUUCCGCAAUGGGCGAAAGCCUGACGGAGCAACGCCGCGUGAGUGAUGAAGGUCUUCGGAUCGUAAAACUCUGUUAUUAGGGAAGAACAAAUGUGUAAGUAACUAUGCACGUCUUGACGGUACCUAAUCAGAAAGCCACGGCUAACUACGUG